rnacentral:rRNA from 1 species
AUUGAACGCUGGCGGCAGGCCUAACACAUGCAAGUCGAACGAGUGGCGGACGGGUGAGUAAUUUCUGGGAAACUGCCUGACGGAGGGGGAUAACUACUGGAACCGGUAGCUAAUACCGCAUACCAUCAGAUGUGCCCAGAGUGGAUUAGCUUGGUGGUGGGGUAACGGCUCACCAAGGCGACGCUCCCUAGCUGGUCUGCGAGGAUGACCAGCCACACUGGGACUGAGACACGGGCCAGACUCCUACGGGAGGCAGCAGUGGGGAAUAUUGAACAAUGGGCGCAAGCCUGAUGCAGCAAUGCCGCGUGUAUGAAGAAGGCCUUCGGAUUGUAAAGUACUUUCAGCGGGGAAGCGUUACCCGCAGAAGAAGCACCGGCUAACUCCGUGCCAGCAGCCGCGGUAAUUC